UGCAGUCGAGCGGACAGAUGGGAGCUUGCUCCCUGAUGUUAGCGGCGGACGGGUGAGUAACACGUGGGUAACCUGCCUGUAAGACUGGGAUAACUCCGGGAAACCGGGGCUAAUACCGGAUGCUUGUUUGAACCGCAUGGUUCAAACAUAAAAGGUGGCUUCGGCUACCACUUACAGAUGGACCCGCGGCGCAUUAGCUAGUUGGUGAGGUAACGGCUCACCAAGGCAACGAUGCGUAGCCGACCUGAGAGGGUGAUCGGCCACACUGGGACUGAGACACGGCCCAGACUCCUACGGGAGGCAGCAGUAGGGAAUCUUCCGCAAUGGACGAAAGUCUGACGGAGCAACGCCGCGUGAGUGAUGAAGGUUUUCGGAUCGUAAAGCUCUGUUGUUAGGGAAGAACAAGUACCGUUCGAAUAGGGCGGUACCUUGACGGUACCUAACCAGAAAGCCACGGCUAACUACGUGCCAGCAGCCGCGGUAAUACGUAGGUGGCAAGCGUUGUCCGGAAUUAUUGGGCGUAAAGGGCUCGCAGGCGGUUUCUUAAGUCUGAUGUGAAAGCCCCCGGCUCAACCGGGGAGGGUCAUUGGAAACUGGGGAACUUGAGUGCAGAAGAGGAGAGUGGAAUUCCACGUGUAGCGGUGAAAUGCGUAGAGAUGUGGAGGAACACCAGUGGCGAAAGGCGAAUCUCUGGUCUGUAACUGGACGCUGAAGAACCAAAGCCGUGGGGAACCGAACAGGAAUUAGAUACCCCGGGUAGUCCACCGCCGUAAACGAUGAAGGGCUAAGUGGUUA
rnacentral:rRNA from 1 species